rnacentral:lncRNA from 1 species
ACCACCUCAAACAUCUCACAGCAGUUAUUUUAUUCCAGAAUUCAUUUUAUAGAUCAUGAUAGACAUCCUUGCCAGUACAUCCACCAUGAGCCUAGAUCGCCUUUGAGCACAAGCUCUCAGAGUCUUCUUCUUCAGCCUCUUUCACAGGGGUAAGGGGGGGCAGGUUUGGUAGUGGCUGUGGUUCCUCGACUUCCUCCUUAGUUUUCUCAGGCUGCAAGACAUCCUUGGUUGGCAUGAUCUUGGUCCCGCUAGACUCACGUCCCGCAGGCUUCUCCUCAGGCUUGUCCUUGUCAAAGGAGAUCUUUUUCAGUCUCUUUUUUGGGCGAAUGUUUUCCGGAAGUUCUGCCUUUGUUGAUUUCCUAUACACCUCCCUGAUUCUCAUGGUACAAGGAGAGGGGGUGGAUAAAAAAGGCAAAAUCAGGAGAGGAGCUGGAACUUGGAGCAGAAAGGGAGGAGCUUUAUAACAAUUCUCAAGAAGUCGAUUUCCCCGAGGAAGUGUAGGGCGAUGGUGACUUUCCAUUCUCAUGUAUAUGACAAAUAAAUAAAUAUAUAAAUAAAUAAAUGCAUUCACAAGAUUCACAAAAUUAAAAAUAAAAAUAUCUUUUUGAUUUCUAUCAUAAAAUUCGAAGGUCCUAGAAUUCAGACAGCAUAUCUUAUAGCAUACUUGAAAAAGAAAAAAAAAAUCAAUAUGAAUUUGAUAACGUAUGGACAAAUUAAUGGACAUGGAAUAUGUUCAAAAAAUAAAUAAAUAAAUAAAUAAUAACGGAUCCUAACUAAUUUAUCAAAUGAUUCUAACAUUUUUAGAUAGAGAUUUUCUUUUAGGUGUAAAAAGUUAUAUAUAACCAAACUUAAAUGCAACAUUAAUGUCCUGCAUAUUAUUAGAUAGACAUCUUCAUGUCCAUACACUACAAAAAAAGAAAUCUUUCCUGACGCUUUUUACAUCCUUUACCGACACUUAUAAGCAUCGGUAAAGACCUGACCGACACUAUUUAAAGCGUCGCCGAAGCAUCGGCGAUACCUGAGUGAGAAAAGUUUUUUCCGAUGCUCCUGAGAAGCGUUGCAAAAAGUCGGUUUUUAGCGAGUUAGCCCUACGUUUUUUUAAAAAAAUAUAUUUUUCAAUAUCGGGGACUUGCUGUCCCCGAUGGUUCUCGGCUUAAGCUUCAGGGUAGGCUGCUAGAGCUUCAUAGCAAGAGAUUACUGGGAAUUGCAAAUCAAGAUCCAUAGCAGAUGUCACCAACAAAACCCGCGAUUGAAGAUCCAGCUUGAUUCUAAUUACUGGGAAUUGCAAAUACCUUGGUGUAUUCAAAUUUCACCCGACGUCGUAUUCACUAGCGUUGCAUCCCUUGUCCCGAUGGUGACCAGGAGAAG